rnacentral:lncRNA from 1 species
UACCUGUCUGUAAAAGAGUAUUGUAGUAAUCUCGCUGUAUGUGCUUCUUGCUGUUGAUGGGCAUGCUGCCAGAAAAGAAACAUUUAGGGAAUAUGCUAGAGAAGGGGUUCUCCAAGAUUGGCGAGAUCUGACUGUGAUGGCUGCAGACGACACGCAUAGGAGAAUCUGAAGAAAACUUGGAAGUUAUGGGACAACCAUUUUGGCCAUGUGCACACCAAAACAAGGAAAGCUGGUCUUCAGAGAGUCAAAAGUCAAACAAAUGCAGACAGAAGAAAGGAAUGAAAAACAUGGCUGUAAGCCCCAGCUGCACUUGAUUUCCAUCUAAGCACUCUUCCCUCAGGUUCUGUGACAACCCCACUGCAAACUUGGCCUCUGACCUGUGGCAAGAUGACUUUCUUCAGCUGCUCCUGAGUGAAGUGCUCCACGUAGGCCUCGAUGUGAGACAGCAGCACCAUCCGCACAUGCUCUUCAUGAACUUCAAACAACUGGAGAAGCACGGGGAUCACCCGUGACUGGAACAGG